CUUGCACCGAGAUUCAACAUGGAACGAGUGGCGGACGGGUGAGUAACACGUGGGUAACCUGCCCUUAAGUGGGGGAUAACAUUUGGAAACAGAUGCUAAUACCGCAUAGAUCCAAGAACCGCAUGGUUCUUGGCUGAAAGAUGGCGUAAGCUAUCGCUUUUGGAUGGACCCGCGGCGUAUUAGCUAGUUGGUGAGGUAAUGGCUCACCAAGGCGAUGAUACGUAGCCGAACUGAGAGGUUGAUCGGCCACAUUGGGACUGAGACACGGCCCAAACUCCUACGGGAGGCAGCAGUAGGGAAUCUUCCACAAUGGACGCAAGUCUGAUGGAGCAACGCCGCGUGAGUGAAGAAGGCUUUCGGGUCGUAAAACUCUGUUGUUGGAGAAGAAUGGUCGGCAGAGUAACUGUUGUCGGCGUGACGGUAUCCAACCAGAAAGCCACGGCUAACUACGUGCCAGCAGCCGCGGUAAUACGUAGGUGGCAAGCGUUAUCCGGAUUUAUUGGGCGUAAAGCGAGCGCAGGCGGUUUUUUAAGUCUGAUGUGAAAGCCCUCGGCUUAACCGAGGAAGCGCAUCGGAAACUGGGAAACUUGAGUGCAGAAGAGGACAGUGGAACUCCAUGUGUAGCGGUGAAAUGCGUAGAUAUAUGGAAGAACACCAGUGGCGAAGGCGGCUGUCUGGUCUGUAACUGACGCUGAGGCUCGAAAGCAUGGGUAGCGAACAGGAUUAGAUACCCUGGUAGUCCAUGCCGUAAACGAUGAAUG
rnacentral:rRNA from 1 species